GGAACUAGAAGAAAACAUCCUGAGUGAGAUAACCCAGUCACAAAAAGACAAACAUGAGCAUGGAUGAAAAGGAAUUAAAGGACUCAUUCAAAGAGGAGAGGACAGCUGGGUCAGAAGCAAAGUCCAAAAACAUGUGGCAGGUGAUGGAUGGGAAAACAGAAUAAAAAUCUAUCAAUGGCAGAGAUUCAAAACCAGAGGGCUCAAAACACCAGUUCUUUUUCAGCAGGAAGUGGUAUGGAGCAUCACUGCAGUCCCUUUGAAGACCUGUCUCUGCAGGGAGCUCAGCAGGGCCUUUCAUCAGGAACCCCAAGGUGUCUCUGACUGCCAUGGAGAGAUUUUCUUGGCUUGAGAACUUCCAGAAGUAGAAGAUGAAGAUGAAGAUGAAGAUGAUGAGUAGGAAGAGAGAAAGGAGAGAAUGGGGAAGAUGCAAUCCUUGUGCUCUCCCAUGACUCUGAGCAUCUUUGAGAGAGAUAAUAACCUAUGAGCAACGUCAACACAAAAGAAUGAGAAGUUACUUCUGUUUUGAUGCUUUUCCCCUAAAUGAGCUAAGCAAACAAGGAUAUGACAAAGAGCACGUCUCACCAGGGCCAACUUGGUAGCAGGCCACCUCGACGCUAUUGAUUUUGCAUUUCCAGCUGGUUGUCUCUGUGUCAUUUUAAAAGAAGGUGCUGUGCGUAGCCUUUACAAACUCCCUACUGCUUGCUGAGGUGGACAAAAAGAUGCAAACUCAUAGAAAUCCGCCAAAGAAUAUAAUAGUCUCUACAGAAGAUCUGGCUGAAUCAACCAACAAAAGGUUCCAGCUGUGGAAGCUGUGUGGAACAAAGGCAACUCUUGGCCUAAUGUGCAGUGCAUGCUUCUGGCGUUCCAGUUCAGGGAAGGAAUAAAGAAAGCUAUUCCAAAGCCCUUGACCAGAUGUGUCUGACAUAGUCUAAAAUGUGUUUGCACAAAACCUUCACUAUCAGCACGGUUGCUCUUAUAUCAGGGGACAUCUGUUCCUAAGGCCAGUGGGGGAAAUGUUUGCAUCCAUGAUUAUGGCACAGACUUGAUCUGGUUGCUACUUUGAAGCCUGUUUUUCCUGACCACUGCAGUUCAUAUUAAUCUGAAUGGCCCUAGAUAUAUGUGGAUCGAUGAUUUAUUUAAUUCAAAAUCUAAAUGCUUUUGUGUCAUGGAAUUAAACUCCAUCCAAUGGUCAAAGACUUAAACUUUCCAUUUGUUUUCCAGGAGCAACUGUGCACCUUCCCCAGAGCUGCCUUGACACUGUUAAGUCUGGACACACUUCCCAUCUGUCUUUGACUUAGAUUGUUCCUAAGGUUGCCUAUUGAUCAUCAUUCUCACAUGAAUCCUUCAUUACUCUAAUUGGAACCAUUUAUAAACACAUUCCUUGGACAGAUGACAAAAGGAUCCAUGAUAGGCAACUUUCUAUUCAAAACAGCUGCCCAAUAUGUAAAUCAAAAGCUGUUAAAGAUUGUAUUGAGCUGAGAACAAUUAUAUAAGGUUUAAGCCUGUUGUGAAUUAAAGUGACUGCAUUGGAGCUUA